UCUACAACGUUAACGUGACGUCUCUAUAACGUUAACGUGACGUCUCUACAACGUUAACGUGACGUCUCUACAACGUUAACGUGACGUCUCUACAACGUUAACGUGACGUCUCUAUAACGUUAACGUGACGUCUCUACAACGUUAUUAAUAAUCCCUGGUACAGGAUGCGACAGUGUUUUUUUUUCAUGACUGAAUAAGAGAAAGGAAUGAAACAACCAGCCAGAGAGAUGGACCUUAUUUAGUAUUUUCGAUGUUUCUUCUCUGAUGAACAACUGUGUUGUGUAGCGGUAGUUAGCACUAGGUGGUAGCGGCAGGUAGCGGUAGGUAGCAGUAGGUAUUAGGUAGGUAGCGGUAGGUAGCGGUAGAUAGGCUGCGGCAGGUUGUGAAACUGACUUGUCCUUUACCUCCUGUACCAAAGCAGCAGACAUUCCUUCCUGUAGGAAACCUAGUACAGGUGUUUCAUUCUUCUCAGCUACUGAGCUACUAACUUAUUAACGGAAAGGUGGUGAUUAGGGUUGUGAAAUUCCAGAAAUGUUUCCAAAAUUCCCAGAUUUCCCGGAAAUUCCGGUUGGAAGAUUCUGGAAAAUCCAGGGAUCCUCCAACCAACUAGAAUUUCUCUGGGGGUGCUAGAACAUGAUAAAGCUCUAGAAUUUCUCUGGGGUGCUAGAACAUGAUAAAGCUCUAGAAUUUCUCUGGGGUGCUAGAACAUGAUAAAGCUCUAGAAUUUCUCUGGGGGUGCUAGAACAUGAUAAAGCUCUAAGGGUUUAUGAGGCACUGUCCAUCUUAACGCUUGAAAACCCUUCAUACAUGUCCUUACAUUCCAUCAUCCCAACUCAUAUCCUUUGGACAUUUAGCAUAUUUACAUUUGACUAAAGCUACACUUCCUAAAUGCUACCCUAUGUCCUAGGCGGUGCCCUACGUUUGACCAGCCCUUCAUCUCCUCAGAGGAAGACGAGCAAGAGGAAGACGUUUGACAAUAUUCUCUUUUGGUGCUUUUCUCAAACGUGUCUGUCCAAAAGUAGUGCACUAUGUAGGGAAUAGGGUGCCAUAGGGCUCUGGUCUAAAGUAGUGCACUAUGCAGGGAAUAGGGAACCAUUUGGGAUGGAGCUGAAAACAUAUUCUCUGAGAGCCGGGAUCCAGCUGCCAGUCAGCUGUUGUUGUUGUUAUUAUUAUUAUUGACUUUUAAUGUUUAAUGAGUUUAGAUGUAAAGAAACUCUUCUAAUCUAUAGUAGUUCAUAACAGAUGAAUCGGUCUGUAUUUUCUGUAAAUGUUACGAGAAAACGUUUUAUUUAGGCCAUUGUGGUGAAAUGAACUGUCAUUUUUAAUACACGAACACAGAGGGAAGGGGACACUAGUGUCCUGAAGUCAUUUAUCCUAAAACACAUUUCAUUACCGUCACUAGGUAGUAGUAGGGUUGCUCAUUUCUAAUACCUUUUCCUAAAAUUCCCAGGUUUUCAAAAAAAAAUAAAAAUAAAUCCCGGUUGGAAGAAUUCACAGAUUCAGGAGGUGAAAGCAGAAAAUGUGUGAAUCCUCCAAACAGGAUCUGGGCGUUUUUGGGGAAAGUUAACGUAAUUUUGGAGUCUCUCACUUGUUCUGCUUCGGGCAACACAAUUCCCUACACGGUUGUAGGAAAAUCACUUCAUGACAAAGUCUUUUUUUUUUUUAUAUAGGUAACUAUAAGACCAUCAUUACGCUGUGCGUAACGAAAUGUACAGAGAAGAUAAAAAAUCAUAGGUAUUUUUGGAGGAUCAAUGAAUUUGUUAAUGACAUGUAGCUAUUUAAUUUCCCUGAUUUCUUUUUGUCCAAUCAUGCAUUUUAUAACUUUUUGUUUUUGGUGUAAAAAAAAAAAAAAGUUUUUUUUUUUUUUUUAAGAUGUUUUUUUAAUUAUUUUAAAAGGUUAAAGUGCAGGAACACAGAAAUGAUUUGAAAACACUGCAUUGAUGAUAGCCACUUGUGUAUUUUGAUGAUAGCCACUUGUGUAUUUUGGCAGUUAUAAUGUUGCAUAAAGGCUACUCAGCAGACAGUCUACAAAGACAUAACGGUUAUGUCCCAACAUAUAUAAGGAAUUGUGUCAUUUGUAACCAAUCCUCUUUAUUUCAACCAUGUGCCUCUUGAGACAAUUGAACAAAAAAUAUAUCGUUGUCAUCCA